rnacentral:rRNA from 1 species
GACGAACGCUGGCGGCGUGCUUAACACAUGCGAGUCGAACGGAAAGGCCCCUUUGGGGGUACUCGAGUGGCGCACGGGUGAGUAACACGUGAGUAACCUGCCCUUGACUUCGGGAUAACUUCAGGAAACUGGGGCUAAUACCGGAUAGGAAUCCUUGCUGCAUGGUGGGGGUUGGAAAGCUUCGGCGGUUUUGGAUGGACUCGCGGCUUAUCAGCUUGUUGGUGGGGUAGUGGCUUACCAAGGCUUUGACGGGUAGCCGGCCUGAGAGGGCGACCGGCCACAUUGGGACUGAGAUACGGCCCAGACUCCUACGGGAGGCAGCAGUGGGGAAUAUUGCACAAUGGGCGGAAGCCUGAUGCAGCAACGCCGCGGGCGGGAUGACGGCCUUCGGGUUGUAAACCGCUUUCAGCAGGGGCGAAGCUUGUGGUGACGGUACCUGCAGAAGAAGCACCGGCUAACUACGUG